rnacentral:rRNA from 1 species
GAAAAAAAUGAUAUUACCUUACUAUAAGUGUAGUCUAAAUAACUGGUGCCAGAAGACUCGGUAACACCAGAAACGCGAACGUUAGUCGUCUUAAUACAGGCGUAAAGGGUAAGUAGGCUGCUUUAAAUUCUAAAUUUUAAUAAGCUAAUUAAUAAUAUUCCUUACCACCCUUAGCUUUUAUACUAUAUUUAUAUUAAUUNCAUAAUCCGCAGAAUAAAUAUUAAUAAAUACUAUGGAGUAAGGUCCAAGACUANAAGUCUAUAAAUUUUCAGACCUUAUCUAAUCAAAAUAAGGCCUAACUAUAAAUGAAAACAGGGAGAAAAAUUUANCUCUUGCUUUUGAGUAAGGCUUAAAUUAAUAGGAUGAAUUNANCUAUANUUAAGUCUCUAUCCCAUAAAAAGGAGCAAAAACUAAUAUUAUUAAUAUCACAAAAAUAGAUAUACUAAAAGCUAGAAUCAUAAUNGAGAUAAACCAAAUAAUGCUUAUGUGUAAGGGCGAUAUCUGACAAUACUAAGUAGAAUAACUAACAGCGAAAACNUUUUUUAUCUGGUAAUGAAUUGGACGCCUGAGGUACAAUAGUGAAGUAACCAUUGGNAAAUAGGAUGUGCGAACUUGCACAGCUUUAAAUUAUGUAUACCUCCUAGGAGGAUGCUCAAUCCUCUGANAUAUCC